rnacentral:rRNA from 1 species
UGGGGAGUAUUGGGCAAUGGGCGCAAGCCUGACCCAGCAAUGCCGCGUGGGUGAAGAAGGUCUUCGGAUUGUAAAGCCCUUUCGGCGGGGACGAUGGUGACGGUACCCGCAGAAGAAGCCCCGGCUAACUUCGUGCCAGCAGCCGCGGUAAUACGAAGGGGGCUAGCGUUGCUCGGAAUUACUGGGCGUAAAGGGCGCGUAGGCGGCGCGGUUUGUCGGGCGUGAAAUUCCUGGGCUUAACCUGGGGGCUGCGUCCGAAACGGCUGUGCUUGAGGACGGAAGAGGCUCGCGGAAUUCCCAGUGUAGAGGUGAAAUUCGUAGAUAUUGGGAAGAACACCGGUGGCGAAGGCGGCGAGCUGGUCCGUUACUGACGCUGAGGCGCGACAGCGUGGGGAGCAAACA